GAGGGUAUAACUCAGUGGCAAAGUGCGUGCUUAGCAUGCAUGAGGUCCUGGGUUCAAUCCCCAGUACCGCCA
rfam:Camelus ferus unplaced genomic scaffold scaffold258, whole genome shotgun sequence.